GCCUUCAUGGUGAAGUGGUCAACACGCUCGACGCGUAACCGAGAAGUCCGUGGUUCGAAUCACGGCAAAGGCG
rnacentral:tRNA from 1 species